rnacentral:rRNA from 1 species
GAUGAACGCUAGCGAUAGGCUUAACACAUGCAAGUCGAGGGGUAACGUGUUGGAAGCUUGCUUCCGAUGACGACGACCGGCGGAUGGGUGCGUAACGCGUAUGCAACUUGCCUCACAGUGGAGAAUAACCCGGAGAAAUCCGGACUAAUACUCCAUACACUCUUAAGUACGCCUGUACAUGAGAGGAAAGAUUUAUCGCUGUGAGAUAGGCAUGCGUCCUAUUAGGUAGUUGGUGAGGUAACGGCUCACCAAGCCGACGAUAGGUAGGGGUGCUGAGAGGCAGAUCCCCCACAUUGGGACUGAGACACGGCCCAAACUCCUACGGAAGGCAGCAGUGAGGAAUAUUGGUCAAUGGAGGAAACUCUGAACCAGCCAAGUCGCGUGAAGGAAGAAUGUCCUAAGGAUUGUAAACUUCUUUAGCGAGCGAGUAAGGACUUCCACGUGAUGGGAGUUUGAAAGUAGCUCGAGAAUAAGUAUCGGCUAACUCCGUG